rnacentral:tRNA from 1 species
AGGGCCUUAGCUCAGUGGUAGAGCGGGAGUCUCCAAAGCUCCGCGUCGUGGGUUCAAUUCCCCCAGGCCCUG